GGCCAAUUUACCAGUGACCGCCGUGUUUGUGUCUUAACACAAGGUGUAAUUGCUUAUUUGUGGUUUUUUACAUUCAAGUGUGUUCCAGCGUACCCAGUGAGGCAGUGGCAUAGUUUGGCCAAUUUACCAGUGACCGCCGUGUUUGUGCGUUAACACAAGGUGUAUUGCUUAUUUGUGGGUUUUCACAUUCAAGUGUGUUCCAGUAUUCCCAGUGAGGCAGUAGCAUAAAGUUUGAGGAGAGUCUCAUCUCCGAAGUCGAAAAGCAUAAUUGCCUUUGAGA